rnacentral:misc_RNA from 1 species
CGUUACAAUAGGUUAUUGUUAAAGAACAAUGACAACACUAUCAGGAUUGCAAGGGAAAUUGUCAAUUUGUUGGUGGGAGAAUUAAAGAAGUUUGCAAGAUAAUUUACUGAUAUGCUUUUAUUUGGAAACCAAAAUCAUUUUAAACAGAGUGUUCUGUGUUUAAUAAAUCUCUUUCUAAUUAUAUUUUAAUUUUUAUUGUUCAUUCUCAUAGCUGCACUGGCUAAAGAGAUAUCCAAACUUUAAGCUUCACUUGAAAAAGGAGUGUACAGUGUAGUUUCUUUUCCUGGCACAAUCUGAAAAAUUUAUCUUUCUGGAAGUGAAACAUAAGGCACAAUUUUGGUGACGUAUUGAAUCACUUGAUUCCCAAUUUAGUCCGUCAUGGGUGUUGAAAAGAAAAGUGUUCCCUUUUUUUUUCUUCAGUUAAUAUUGUAGACAAUUUGGGAGCCCAAAUCAGCGUCGCUAGUUGAUAACAAGCUCUAUAUGAAUCCUGAAUUCUGAGUUGGUUCUUUAGAUUUUUCAUCUCUUUCAAGUGAUUAGAUUUUCCAUACUCAUGACUCUUUUAUUACCUUGAAAUGAAUCAUUAAUCAUUUAUUUGCAAUUUUGCAUUAAUAGGGUUUUUAAAGCUGGGGUUUUCUUUUCUGCAG